GUGUUCACUUUAGCAAUAUAUACAUCAAAAUGGAAAGAAUGCAGAGAAGAUUAGCAUGGCCCCUUAAGCAAAGAUGGCAUGCAAAUUCUAGGGUAAUCACCAAAGAAU
rnacentral:snRNA from 2 species